CCCUCAGAUGUCCUGGGCCGCACGUGUGCUACACUGACUCGCGCAACGAGUUUUUACCUGAUCCGAAAGGCAUUGGGAAACCUUGUUAAUACGAGUCGUGCUAGGGAUUGAUCUUUGCAAUUUUCGAUCAUGAACGAGGAAUCCCUAGUAAGCAUAAGUCAUCAUCUUGUGCUGAUUACGUCCCUGCCCUUUGUACACACCGCCCGUCGCUCCUACCGAUUGAGUGGUCCGGUGAACUUUUUGGACGUUUACUUGUUGAGCGGAAGCUAAGUAAACCUUAUCACUUAGAGGAAGGAAAANUCGUANCA
rnacentral:rRNA from 1 species